rnacentral:lncRNA from 1 species
CCCACACUCAGGGUGAGAGGGAGAUUCUGAAGCUUUGUGUUUCUUGCUAGCUAGUCAAAGGAUAGAAAAAUAAUACAUGCCAAAAGAAAUUUGAGGAACAAAUUCAGCCCUGAGACAGGUCACGGAAACAGCCCUCCAGUCUUCCUCAAGAAAUGUAGACUGAAUCAGCAUUUACCCACCCCUGGAAAAACGCAGGAGCUGCGCAUUCCUGGGAUCUCAGCAGGGCUUUUGGGAAGAGCAGAACUGGGCUGGAGUCACGGUUUCUGGGCUGACUCUAGAUUUUCCCCGGCUUUUGCCACCUGUGAUGGCUGGAGAGUAUCUGAAGAUGACAGCCAGUGUCCUUAGCUUGUGAAGAUUGGAUGAUGGCCGGGGCCCUCAGACCCCUUGGCCCCUCCUUAACUGCAGGUCUUCAAAAGCCCAACACCUGUUCGUCAUUUCUGUGGCUUCCCAGGGAGUCUUACUCUUCUGCUUCAAGCUGCUGGGUUUGACUCUGAGCAGUUUCUGUGCAGCCACAAAGAUUCUUAUGUGAGACACACUGCUGCUUCAGAGUGCUCCAACCCAUCUCCCCUGAUUAAACACUAACCAGGGCUGCCACAGCAAAGUGGCUCAAAUGGGUGACGUCAACAACAGAUUUACUUUCUCAUAGUUCUGGAGGCAGGUGUCUAGGAUCAAGGUGGUGGCAAGGCUAUUCCUUCUGUUGCCUCCCUCCUUGCCUUGUGGAUGACCGUCUUCUCCGCGUCUUUCCAAGAUCUCUCCUCUGUGCAUGUCAGUGUCCUUGCUUCCUCUUCUUAUGAAGACACCGGUCAUGUUGGAAUGCAACAGAAGAGAGUGCACGGCUUCUGAGGUUGCAGCUUUUGGGAGAAGCCAUCUACCAUUGAUGACAGACAUGCCGUGUGGAAACCAAACCAGCCAUGUGGAGAGGCUACCUGGACAGAGGCACAGGGCCAGCAGCAGCUGUGGAGACAGACAUGUGAGCAAAGAAAUCAUCUUUGAUGUACAGCCAAGUUGAGCCUUCAGAUGACUCCGAUUUCAGCCACCUUUGGACUGCAACCACAUGAAAGACUCUAAAUAGAAGCCUCCCAGCUGAUCCCGGUUAACCCACAGUGCUGAAGGGGAUAAUAAUAAAUUGU